GGCAUGCAAGUCGAACGAUCCCUUUCUUCGGAGGGGGAUAGUGGCAAACGGGUGAGUAACACGUGAGUAAUUUACCAUUUGGUUCGGAAUAACUUACCGAAAGGUAAGCUAAUACCGGAUGAGACCACGAUUCCAAAGGGAUAGUGGUUAAAGGCGGGGAUCCUGAAAAUGGACCUGUCGCCGAAUGAUGAGCUCGCGUCCUAUCAGCUUGUUGGUGGGGUAACGGCCUACCAAGGCGAAGACGGGUAGCUGGUCUGAGAGGAUGGUCAGCCACACUGGGACUGCGACACUGCCCAGACUCCUACGGGAGGCUGCAGUCGAGAAUCUUUUGCAAUGCCCGAAAGGGUGACAAUGCGACGCCGCGUGAGCGAUGAAGGCCUUCGGGUUGUAAAGCUCUGUCAGCUCGGAUGAAUGCGGGAGAAUUAAUACUUCUUCCGUUUGACGGUACGAGCAGAGGAAGCCACGGCUAACUCCGUGCCAGCAGCCGCGGUAAUACGGAGGUGGCAAGCGUUGUUCGGAUUUACUGGGUGUAAAGGUCAUGUAGGCGUCUUAUUAAGUCGGAUGUGAAAUCCCUUGGCUCAACCAAGGAACUGCAUUCGAUACUGGUAAGAUUGAGUACGGGAGAGGUAAGCGGAAUUCCGGAAGUAAGGGUGAAAUCUGUAGAUAUCCGGAAGAACACCAUUAGCGAAGGCGGCUUACUGGUCCGAUACUGACGCUGAAAUGAGAAAGCUAGGGGAGCAAACAGGAUUAGAUACCCUGGUAGUCCUAGCUGUAAACGAUGGGCACUAGGUGCAGGCCCGCGAGGGGCUGUGUCGUAGCUAACGCGUUAAGUGCCCCACCUGGGGACUACGGCCGCAAGGCUAAAACUCAAAUGAAUUGACGG
rnacentral:rRNA from 1 species